rnacentral:piRNA from 1 species
GGAAAGAGCAGGACUAGGACCAG